rnacentral:rRNA from 1 species
UACGGAGGAUGCAAGCGUUAUCCGGAAUGAUUGGGCGUAAAGCGUCCGCAGGUGGCAAUGUAAGUCUGCUGUUAAAGAGUCUAGCUCAACUAGAUAAAAGCAGUGGAAACUACAUAGCUAGAGUACGUUCGGGGCAGAGGGAAUUCCUGGUGUAGCGGUGAAAUGCGCAGAUAUCAAGAGGAACACCUGCGGCGAAGGCGGGUUGCUGGGCCGACACUGACGCUGAGGCGCGAAAGCCAGGGGAGCGAACGGG